rnacentral:rRNA from 1 species
AUUGAACGCUGGCGGCAGGCCUAACACAUGCAAGUCGAGCGGAUGACGGGAGCUUGCUUCUCGAUUCAGCGGCGGACGGGUGAGUAAUGCCUAGGAAUCUGCCUGGUAGUGGGGGACAACGUUUCGAAAGGAACGCUAAUACCGCAUACGUCCUACGGGAGAAAGCAGGGGACCUUCGGGCCUUGCGCUAUCAGAUGAGCCUAGGUCGGAUUAGCUAGUUGGUGAGGUAAUGGCUCACCAAGGCGACGAUCCGUAACUGGUCUGAGAGGAUGAUCAGUCACACUGGAACUGAGACACGGUCCAGACUCCUACGGGAGGCAGCAGUGGGGAAUAUUGGACAAUGGGCGAAAGCCUGAUCCAGCCAUGCCGCGUGUGUGAAGAAGGUCUUCGGAUUGUAAAGCACUUUAAGUUGGGAGGAAGGGUUGUAGAUUAAUACUCUGCAAUUUUGACGUUACCGACAGAAUAAGCACCGGCUAACUCCGUGCCAGCAGCCGCAGUAAGAC